GAUGAAGAACGCAGCGAAUUGCGAUAAGUAAUGUGAAUUGCAGAAUUCAGUGAAUCAUCGAAUCUUUGAACGCAGCUUGCGCUCUCUGGUAUUCCGGAGAGCAUGCCUGUUUCAGUGUCAUGAAAUCUCAACCACUAGGGUUUCCUAAUGGAUUGGAUUUGGGCGUCUGCGAUUUCUGAUCGCUCGCCUUAAAAGAGUUAGCAAGUUUGACAUUAAUGUCUGGUGUAAUAAGUUUCACUGGGUCCAUUGUGUUGAAGCGUGCUUCUAAUCGUCCGCAAGGACAAUUACUUUGACUCUGGCCUGAGAUCAGGUAGGACUACCCGCUGAACUUAAGCAUAUCAAUAAGCGGAGGA
rnacentral:misc_RNA from 1 species